GCAAGGCGCAUCCGACUUCCGGAGAAAUGCGCCGGUUGCGAACAACUUCCGGCCGCUGCAGUCAGCCCACCACCGGACCAUCAGGACCAAUAUCGACUUUGGUUACUCGCAGGGGAAAAAAUGCUCUAUGGCUAGGCCUAAAUUGCAGUAUCGUGCGAACGACUGGCGAAACUCUUGACCACUAUUGCCAUCAAGUGAUCGUGUAAAUAUUGCAUGUGGACAUCUCCAAGAGUCUUCAUCCGAGUGUAAAUAGAUUUAUUCCUUUGCCAAAAAAGAAAAAGAAGAAAAAAAAAUGUUCUUGUUUAAUUAACACCUUGUGAGGAUGGUUUCCUGAUUGGGUAUAGUGUCAUAGGUUGCUGAUGUAUUGUGUGACAUU